rnacentral:lncRNA from 1 species
CCUGAUUCCUUGUCCAUGGUCGGUUUGGAUUUACUAUUGAUCCAUUUUAGUUUUGUAAGCUCUCAACGUUUGUAAAACGACGGGUGCCACACGUGAAGCAGGAUCUGCUUACCCUUCCGGAGCACCUGCAUGAGAUCACCCCCAGUUUUUUGGUGGGGUUCGUGUUGCUUAUUCUUUAGUUUUCUAUGUUGUGUCAUGUGUACUUUUUGUUUGUCUGUUUGUCUUUUUCAUUUUUAGCAAUGGCGUUGUCAGUUUAUUUUCGAUUAUAAACUGUCCCUCUAGUAUCUUUUGCCCCUCUUUUGUAUAAGAUUUUGGGUCUGUCGAGCAACACUGGAGAGACAUUAAUUGUUGAAAUGGGCAUCUGGUCAAUAAAAUUAGUAUCGUUUUUUUCCCAUGAAAAUUAAGGAAAAAGUCCGUUAAUGUCCACAGAGAUUUUUUAACCGAUCUUUUUGAAAAUAUUGUGGUACAAUGCCCGAUUACAUGAAUUAAUUUACAUAAUCGACUUUUUUUCUACGAUUAUCUUACAAAAAAAAUCCUAAUUAACUUUCUUC